rnacentral:snoRNA from 1 species
UACCGUGAUGACUCGCUGUCGCCCCAGACGGAGGAUCCUUUUCAGGACUAUGACCGAUUUCGACAAAUAGCCAAACACACUGAAAAUUCUGAAC